AUGGCUCGGCUGUUUAGAGACCGAGGAACCCUAGGGGACUUCAAGCGGGAGACGGACAGCAACUCCAUGCGGCUCUCGUCCUCGGCCGCGAUGACAGCCGCCGAUCUCGCCUCCCCCUACGGCCAAUUGGGCCGCGCAUUCUCCGAUCCGGAGCUCCGCGACACCGCCUACGAGAUCUUCGUCGCCGCCUGCCGCUCCACCGGCAGCAGGCCCCUCACCUACAUUCCCCAGUCCGAACGCACCCCGCCCUCCGCCGACCGCGUGCUGUCCUCGCCGGCGUCCUCGUCGCCGCUCUCGUCCUCGUCGUCGCUCCAGCGCUCGCUCACCUCGACGGCGGCCAGCAAGAUGAAGAAGGCCCUCGGGAUCAAGUCCUCGAAGAAGAGCCCUGGCAAGGAGAUCAGCCCGGCCAAGGGCUCCAAGCGCCCGGUGACCGUCGGCGAGCUGAUGAGGAUCCAGAUGGGGAUCUCCGAGAAGGCGGACUCCCGGAUCCGGCGGGGACUGCUCCGGGUUGCCGCGAGUCAGCUUGGGAGACGCAUGGAAUCCAUGGUUUUGCCACUAGAGUUAUUGCAGCAGUUCAAGGUUUCAGACUUUGCUGAUCAACAAGAAUAUGAAGCCUGGCAGCUUAGAAACUUGAAGAUUCUUGAGGCUGGAUUACUCGUACACCCUUUUCGUCCAUUAGGGAAAUCAGAUGUUGCCGCGCAGCGACUAAGACAGAUCAUACAUGGAGCUUCAGAGGGGCCACUCGAAACUGGAAAAAAUUCAGAGUCAAUGCAGGUUCUACGCAGUGCCGUGAUGGCCCUUGCUUGCCGAACUUCUGAUGGAUCUGUUUCAGAGACAUGCCAUUGGGCAGAUGGUUUUCCACUGAAUCUCCAUCUGUACCAAAUGCUGCUAGAAGCUUGUUUUGAUAACAGUGAGGACGGAUCAAUAAUCGAUGAAAUUGAUGAGGUUCUAGAGUUGAUAAAGAAGACUUGGACUAUCCUGGGGAUAAAUCAGAUGCAUCAUAAUCUCUGCUUUACCUGGGCUUUAUUUCACCGUUUUGUUACAACUGGCCAAGUAGACAUUGAUCUACUGUUUGCAGCUGAUACUCAGCUAGCUGAAGUUGCAAAGGAUGCCAAAGCAACAAAAGAUUCAGCUUAUUCUAAGAUAUUGAGUUCAACAUUGAGCUCGAUAAUGGGAUGGACAGAGAAGAGACUUCUUGCUUACCAUGAUACCUUCAAUCCUAGUAAUAUUGAAUCUAUGCAAAGUAUUGUUUCUUUAGGAGUAUCAGCUGCCAAGAUACUAAUGGAAGAUAUUUCACAAGAGUAUCGCCGUAAGAGGAGAGAAGAAACUGAUGUAGCUCGUAGCAGGAUUGAUACCUAUAUUCGAUCCUCACUCCGUACUGCUUUUGCUCAGAGAAUGGAACAAGCAGACUCAAGCAGGCGAUCAUCAAAAAAUCAGAGUACUCCCACUCCAGUUCUUGCCAUCCUUGCAAAGGACAUUGGUGAUCUAGCAAGCAAGGAAAAAACACUAUUCAGUCCUAUAUUGAAGAAAUGGCAUCCUCUAUCUGCAGGUGUUGCUGUUGCUACCCUUCAUUCAUGUUAUGGUAAUGAACUUAAGCAGUUUAUAUCUGGUGUCACGGAACUGACACCAGACACAGUCCAAGUGCUUAAAGCUGCAGACAAAUUAGAGAAAGAUCUUGUACACAUUGCUGUUGAAGAUUCCGUUGAUAGUGAUGAUGGUGGUAAGUCAUUAAUCCGUGAGAUGCCUCCUUAUGAAGCUGAAUCUGCGAUUGCCAAUCUUGUGAAAACAUGGAUAAAGACAAGAGUAGACAGAUUGAAGGAGUGGGUUGACCGGAACUUGCAGCAAGAGGUUUGGAACCCAAGGGCAAAUAGAGAGAAUUGUGCUCCUUCUGCAGUUGAAGUUCUACGAAUAGUUGAUGAGACCUUAGAUGCCUUCUUUCAACUGCCUAUACCAAUGCACCCAGCCUUACUUCCAGACUUGAUGAUUGGACUUGACAGAAGUCUGCAACAUUACAUAUCCAAGGCAAAGUCCGGCUGUGGAACACGAAAUACUUUUAUCCCUGCACUGCCAGCAUUAACCAGGUGCGAGGUUGGUUCAAAAUUGUGGAAGAAAAAAGAGAAAUCACACACCUUACAGAAAAGGAGAUCACAAGUUGGAUCGACGAAUGGAGAUAACUCUCCUGGUUUGCCACAGCUAUGUGUACGUAUGAAUACGCUUCACCAUAUCCGAAUAGAGCUGGAUAAUCUGGAGAAGAAAAUAAGGACUUGUUUAAGAAAUGUUGAAUCUGCCCAAGCAGAUAUGUCAAAUGGAUUGGACGUCAAGUUUGAGAUUUCUCUAGCUGCUUGUCAAGAAGGGAUUCAGCAACUGUGCGAGGCAACGGCAUACAAGGUGAUCUUCCAUGAUCUAAGUCAUGUUCUGUGGGAUGGCUUAUAUGUUGGGGAGACUUCUGCUUCAAGAAUAGAUCCUCUACUGAAAGAACUUGACCCUACUCUUGAGAUGAUAUCGACCACUGUGCAUGGCAGAGUGCGAAAUCGAGUGAUAACUGCACUAAUGAAAGCUUCUUUUGAUGGGUUUUUGCUAGUGCUUCUGGCGGGUGGCCCAUUGCGUGCUUUCUCUUGCCGAGAUUCUCAGAUAAUAGAGGAGGAUUUCGGGUCUCUCAAAGACUUGUACUUGGCUGAUGGUGAUGGGUUGCCAGGGGAGUUGGUUGAGAAGGCUUCAACCCAAGUGAGAAAUGUGCUACCUCUAUUCCGCACGAAUACAGAAAGCCUUAUUGAGCGGUUCAAAUGUAUGAUAGCUGAGACAUAUGGUUCAGCAGCCAAAUCCAGGUAUCCAUUACCGCCUACUUCGGGGAAUUGGAGCCCGACUGAGGCCAAUACGAUUUUGCGUGUUUUGUGCUAUAGGAAUGAUGAAGCUGCCACAAGGUUUCUUAAGAAAACUUAUAACUUCCCCAAAAAGCUGUGACAUCUUGAAGUGAAAUGGCAGAUCAGUCAGUAAUUGUCUGGAAGACUUGCUUGUCGGCACUCUCUAUAUCUAUGUUAUCAGCCUUGAUAAUAUUCUCAAGCUGUGGUGGUUCUGGUUGUGACAUGUGUACCAUAUUACAAAUAUUUUAAAGCAGUUCAACGGAAUUGCCUUCUCGGCUAAUGCUUGCUGCGCCACAUUGCUGUCAGGACUUUCUGAGGCAGGUUUCAUUCAGUGUAAUUUGACUUACCAAAUGAGCAUCGGUUCAGUUUGUGAGUAGAUAUGUCGGGUCUAAGGUGGAUGGGCAUCCUACCAUUCUUUGAUGGCAUCAGGAUCUUAUGGAGGUUAAGAUGUUACACUUGCCACCUUUAGAAGCAUUCUUUGGUUUAGUUGGAGCUUUUGGGUUUCUUCAUUAUAUUCUUCCGUUUCUAAUCUGGUCCUUUACUAGUUUGUGCAAGGUGUUGGAGCUGCGACUGUAUAUUCUUCUGCUGGGUGUGGAGUUCUCCGACCAUCCUUUAUGUUUGGAACCUAGCUUUACAGGUUAAGCACGAGUUUCCUGUUGACAUAUGCUGAUCUGACUAUUAUUACUCGAGGAAGUCCUGGUUGGUAUUAGUACCUAAGUCGUUUGAUCAAUUACCCCUGUUAAGCAAUGUCCUGCAAAUGUUGCCUUUCCUGUGUUGUCUCCAUGAGUGUGGCACUGGAGUAUUUAUCCAAGUAUCUCCAAUUUGUCCGUAGAUUUGGCAAGUCACGUUUCUCCCGGGGGGUCUGUCUUGGGCGAUCAAAGAGGAACAGGUGCGGUAGUGUAGGCAAAGCAAAGAACAAACAGAGAUAGGGCUGCCAGAAAGGGUCCAUAAAUGCAUAGUUUUUGUAGCUUGGGGAGCACUCGUACACUAUCAUCAUAGUCCAGAAUGUCUUUGGUGUCCUUCAGUUCUGUUGGUCCUCCGCUCUCUUUUCAGCUUUCCUCCAAUUUUAUGCAAUUAUGCAAAUUAGUCUAGUGGCAAUAUAUAAGAAUUUAAACUUACCCUACUCUGGAAGGUUGCUCUAUUUAUCAACCUGUGCA